AACAGAAAACCACAAAAUACCAGGCAUGCUCAUAGCUUGUUUAUUGGCCAUGUAGAAAUUCUGAUCUUUUAGUAGGAAACCCUCGGCGAUUUUACGGGUAUAGAAAAAUGUCGCCAGAGAAGCCUCAACUUACCGUUGAUCUUCUACCGCCAUUUUCUGUGUCAGGACUGAUAUCGACAACUUCCCAUUUCUACUUUUUUAUUUUUCAGGACCAUGCCAUGGAUUAGCAGAGAAGCCUCAACUUACCAGUCAUUCAUGGCACGAUGAUAUGAGAUGGUCUAUAUGGUGCUAUAAAUGUCUUGGAUUGAUGUAUAUCUAGCGCCGAACAGCAUUCCCAUAUAGUGUUGCUAAACCCAAGGUAGGAUGGAAUAGGAGCACACACGAUGCCUUUCUUUGCAAGUGCCAAGUGCGUCCACCUUCUUGUUGGAUUGUUCGCAACUGUCUUCUAUGUGCAUACGCAUGGUGGUGCUAAUACCGAGUUACUUCAAUCCAAGGCAGUUGGAUGAUGCAUGUAAAAGUUGGAGAACGGACAUAUGAAGUUUCUCAUUUUCUCAAAAAAGAAAGGUAAAAGCAAAAUGUUUGUUCCCUUUUUUUUCUCUCCCUCCCUGGAUUAUCUCUUCAAAUGGUUUUCUUGGUGGCUGUCAAGGAACCAUAAAGUCAUAUAAAUAGUGCAAUUCAGAUUUAGCAUUUGGUUGUGGUUCUGUACUAUUGGAGGAUAUACUUAUUUGCUG
rnacentral:lncRNA from 1 species